rnacentral:rRNA from 1 species
GUGGCCUUAUCAUGUUGGAAAACACCAGGUUCCUCUACAAUCCCCAAAGUUAAGCAACGUCGAGCCUGAUCAGUACCUAGAUGGGUGACUGCUUGGGAAUACCAGAUGCU